rnacentral:tRNA from 1 species
GCCUCCGUGGCCUAAUGGAUAAGGCAUCGGUCUCCUAAACCGGGGAUUGUGGGUUCGAGUCCCACGGGGCA